rnacentral:rRNA from 1 species
UUGCCUCGGCGGUGCCUGUUCCGACAGCCCGCCAGAGGACCCCAAACCCUGAUUACAUUUAAGAAGUCUUCUGAGUAAACCGAUUAAAUAAAUCAAAACUUUCAACAACGGAUCUCUUGGUUCUGGCAUCGAUGAAGAACGCAGCGAAAUGCGAUAAGUAAUGUGAAUUGCAGAAUUCAGUGAAUCAUCGAAUCUUUGAACGCACAUUGCGCCCGCUAGUAUUCUGGCGGGCAUGCCUGUCCGAGCGUCAUUUCAACCCUCAAGCCCCCGGGCUUGGUGUUGGGGAUCGGCGAGCCUCCGCGCCCGCCGUCCCCUAAAUCUAGUGGCGGUCUCGCUGUAGCUUCCUCUGCGUAGUAGCACACCUCGCACUGGGAAACAGCGCGGCCACGCCGUUAAACCCCCAACUUCUGAACGUUUGACCUCGGAUCAGGUAGGAAUACCCGCUGAACUUAAGCAUAUCAAUAAGCG